rnacentral:lncRNA from 10 species
CUGAAAAGGAAGUCGUCAUUUUGAAGGAGGGAAAGCUGCUGAGAAAACAUGGAAACACAGAAAGAGGAAAGUAAAAAGUACCCAGGGAGCCUCUGAGUUUGUGUGUGCACGUGGGUGAGGUCGCCAAAGGGGAGCAAACCUCCUACUUCCUGCAGCUCAGAUUACUUAUCAAUCAGAGAGCCUCCUAUUCCCCUUCCUGGUAAAUGAAGAAUACAAGGAGUGAGUCCCAGAAUUGGGCACGGAACCUCUGCAACUGCACAAUGCGAAAUAUACCUGGUCAGCACAAUCAGUACAGAAAGAAAUAUUCUGCUUAACUAAAUACUCUGGCUAAUGGAAGAUGACAUGACUAUCAAACUGGGAUGUAAAAAAUAAUAACCUAAAGAGAUAUGGUCUAUAUUCAUUUUCUAUUUCUGCUAUAAAAAUUACCACAAAUUUAGUGGCUUAAAACAACACAAAUGGAUUAUCCCGCGAUUCUUCAGGCCAGAAGUUCACAUGAGCUCAAUGGAUUCCUCUGCCCUUGGUCCCAGAGGUUGACGUCAAAGUAUCAGCUGGCCCAGGCUCUCAUCUGAAGGCUCUGAGGGAGAAUUUGCCACCAAACUGAUGCAGGUUGCUGGCAGAAUCAUGUUCUGAAUUCUUGUUUCCUCGCUGGCUGAGUUGUCGUCUUCUCACUGGCUGGGAGAUGUGGCCUCUGUCAGCAAUGUAAGGCCACCUACACUACCCAUCAUGCUGCAACCUCCGUCCUCAAACCAGCAACAGUGCAUCCCAUCCCCCUCACACCUCUAAUCUCUCUGACUUCCGCUUCUGCUGCAUCUCUCCUGAACUCAGUCACAGAACAUUCUCUGUGUUUAAUAGCUGUUAAACACAGCUGUUUAUUAGAUUGGUCCACCUCAAAAUUGAUUAGAUUGGGUCCACCUCAAAAAUCCAGGAUAAACUUCUGAUUUUAUGGUCGGUUACCUUAAUCACAUCUGCAAAAUCCCUUUGGUGUGUCAUAUAAUAUAUCCAUAGGUCCCAAGGAUUAGGACAUGGACAUCUCUGGAGGGCCACUGAGCCAUCACAAGGUUCUAGUAGGAAUCUGGGGUCACCAUUCCGAAUUUCAAUGGGGGUAAUAAUAAUACCUACUUAGAGGACGAUUAUGAGAAUUAAGUAAGUUAAUGUUUGUAAAGUGCUUAGAACAAUGUCUAGAAAGUACUAUAUAAGUGCUUGUUGAAUGGACACAUGGAUGGAUGAGAGAAUGAAAUAAAUGCUUGAAUAAAUGAAGUUCUGAAUUUACUUUAAAGAUUAGAAGUAUAGGUGGCUAAGCUGAAUCUUUUGUCAUCUAACAGCAAAAAUGGGACAUAUUAAGUAGCUUACAGAACUAAUUUACUUUAAGGCCCAGUUAGUCAAUACAUCUCUGCUCUGGCAUGGGCUUUGGGAUAGAUAAUCCCACAUGUCACAUCAUACACUGUGGGUUGUUUUAGAGCAUUUAUGGACCUUGCCUUGGUAUCCGUAGAAAUACUGAUUUCCUGGAAGUUGAGAAGUAGAUACAGG